GCCUUCUUAGCUCAGAGGUAGAGCGUUGCACUUGUAUAUAACAUACGAUGCAAAGGUCAGUCGUUCAAUCCGGCUAGGAGGCA